UUUAACGGCCGCAGUAUUUUGACUGUGCAAAGGUAGCAUAAUCAUUAGUCUUUUAAUAGGGGGCUGGUAUGAAGGGUUUGACGAGGUGUUUACUGUCUCAUUUAAUGUGUAUUUAGAAUUUAACUUUUCAGUUAAAAGGCUGAAAUUAUAUUGGAAGACGAGAAGACCCUAUAGAGCUUUAUAAUUAAAAUUUUAAUUAUUUUUUGUUUAUUAUUUUUUAUUAUUAUUUUAAUUAUUUUGUUGGGGUGACAAAAAUAUAUAAUUAACUUUUUUAUUUAAUUAACAUUGAUUUAUGAUUAUUAGAUCCAUUAUUAGUGAUUGUUAGAUUAAGUUACCUUAGGGAUAACAGCGUAAUCUUCCUUCAGAGUUCAUAUUUACGGGAAGGCUUGCGACCUCGAUGUUGGAUUAAGAUAAUAAUUAGGUGUAGCCGCUUAAUAUAUAGGUCUGUUCGACCUUUAAAUUCUUACAUGAUCUGA
rnacentral:rRNA from 1 species